ACUCCUACGGGAGGCAGCAGUGGGGAAUAUUGGACAAUGGGGGCAACCCUGAUCCAGCCAUGCCGCGUGUGUGAAGAAUGCCCUCGGGUUGUAAAGCACUUUCAGCGAGGAAGAACGCCUGUCGGUUAAUACCCGGCAGGAAAGACAUCACUCGCAGAAGAAGCACCGGCUAACUCCGUGCCAGCAGCCGCGGUAAUACGGAGGGUGCAAGCGUUAAUCGGAAUUACUGGGCGUAAAGCGCGCGUAGGUGGCUUGAUAAGCCGGUUGUGAAAGCCCCGGGCUCAACCUGGGAACGGCAUCCGGAACUGUCAGGCUAGAGUACAGGAGAGGAAGGUAGAAUUCCCGGUGUAGCGGUGAAAUGCGUAGAGAUCGGGAGGAAUACCAGUGGCGAAGGCGGCCUUCUGGACUGAUACUGACACUGAGGUGCGAAAGCGUGGGUAGCAAACAGGAUUAGAUACCCUGGUAGUCCACGCCGUAAACGAUGUCGACCAGCCGUUGGGUGCCUAGAGCACUUUGUGGCGAAGUUAACGCGAUAAGUCGACCGCCUGGGGAGUACGGCCGCAAGGUUAAAACUCAAAGGAAUUGACGG
rnacentral:rRNA from 1 species